CAAAGAGAAAUGUGAGUUAUAAAAAUUAUACUACAUUCAAUAAUAAAGCACCUUUUAAAACAUUUAGGAGACUUCUGUUGCUCAAAUAUGGAUAAUGUGCAUCCUUCUCAUUAAGAAGCUGCUUCCUCAUUGGUUUGUGAUGAAAUAUGAGUGCAAUUUCCUGUCCCCUCAACAAUGUUGGUUUCUCUUCUGGGUACAAGCAGAUUUAUCUGGCUCCUCGGUUGACAAAAUCGUCAUCUCAAGAAACAUGGAAACAAAGACAUUUUAAAAAGAGAUGUCAAUCUCUGUGAAAAGAAAUCUUUAUAUAUUGAUGUUUGGACCCAUGUCCUCUGAACGUCAUGAGGAAAACCAGACUGAGGACCACAUUCCAUGAAAACUGAUGGACACCCGGCUUAUCCUCCAGGGUUCUUCAUCAGCAUUCUAUCAUAGUAAGCAGCCCAUGGACCUCUGCUCUUUCAAAUCGACCGAUCAUUUAACUAAGUGCCGGGAGCCUGGCUCCUGCCAGACUCCAGCCAUUGAUAUCUGAGCAAAUUGAUCUACGUUCACCCUUUAAAACCACUGAUGAAUCAAUCAGAACUUCUGAAAGCAAGGAAAAACUGAAAUGUCUUAGUCAAAGAGAUUUCGAUGUUGAAAACCAGCUACCACAAGGAAAGGCUUAUCUUUCGAUUCACCGUCCGGGAACAAAUGUAAAUCCGCCUCUUGAAAAGAUGAACAGCACGUGUAUUGAAGAACAGCAUGACUUGGACCACUACUUGUUUCCAGUGGUUUACAUCUUUGUGGUAAUAGUGAGCGUUCCAGCCAAUAUCGGCUCUCUCUGUGUGUCUUUUCUGCAAGCAAAGAAGGAGAACGAACUAGGCAUUUACCUCUUCAGUUUAUCACUAUCGGAUCUGCUGUAUGCAUUAACUCUCCCUCUGUGGAUUGAUUAUACUUGGAAUCAAGACAACUGGACAUUCUCUCCCGCCCUGUGCAAAGGGAGCGCUUUUUUCAUGUACAUGAAUUUUUACAGCAGUACGGCCUUUCUCACCUGCAUCGCCAUCGAUCGGUAUCUAGCAGUUGUUUACCCUCUGAGGUUUUCUUUUCUAAGGUCAAGAAGAUUUGCGUUCAUGGUCAGUCUAUUCAUCUGGGUGCUGGAAAGCUUUUUCAACGCUAUCAUCUUGUGGGAAGAUGAAACAGCUGUCGAAUACUGUGAUACCAAAAAAUCGAAUUUUACUUUAUGCUAUGACAAAUACCCUUUGGAGAAAUGGCAAAUCAAGUUCAACUUUUUUAGGACGUGUGUAGGCUAUUUGAUCCCUUUGGUGGUCAUAAUGGUUUGCAACCGGAAAGUCUACCAAGCUGUGAAGCAAAAUCAAGCCACGGAAAACAGUGAAAAGAAGAGAAUCAUAAAACUCCUUGUUAGUAUCACAUUGACUUUUAUCUUGUGUUUUACUCCCUUUCAUGUGAUGUUGCUGAUUCGCAGCAUUUUAGAACGUGAUGUGAACUUAGAUGAACAUAUAUUUGACCAUAACAAGUCUGGGAAGCAGACUUAUAAAAUCUAUAGAAUCACAGUUGCAUUAACAAGUCUAAAUUGCGUGGCAGAUCCAAUGCUGUACUGUUUUGUAACUGAAACAGGAAGAUCAGAUAUGUGGAAUAUAUUAAAUUUUUUUACAGGGAAGUUUAAUAAAUCAGAAAGACAAAGAAAAAGUAUGCUUUCUAUGUCUACCAGAGAUACUUUGGAAUUAGACAUCCUGGACUAGAACCGAAGAAUUUUUUUAAAGAUAUAUAAUAUUAUAUCACUGAGAUUGUGUUUGGAAAAGGAAAUCUAAGCAGGAAAAGAGACUAAGUGUUCCCCUUGAGGGACUAUUUUAAUUCUCUCCAAUGGAAGUAUUUUAAAAGUGCACUGCAUUAGUUCCCUGACUCUUAUUAAAUGAGAAUUAAAAUUUAAUAUUUUCCUAAUGACUCAGGAUCAUUAUUUUCAGUGGCAAUUGUUUUUGUAUCUGCGUUCUCAUCUCUCACAGGUUUACUGGUCGGCUACCUGUGAGACAGAACAAUCCCUGAAGGGAAGUUGUGGGUGGAACACGGCGUGAGCUGGUAGGUGCCGGCUCCCCCACAGUGGGCUACCAGCCAUCAUUACUUCCUUCAGAUGGUUCAACACACCAGCGGGUACCUUAAGGGCCUUCACUGGUGGUUCCACAUUUUCAGUGGGGCCUGCUUCUAGGAAUUCACAGUUCUGAGGAGACACGUGCUGUAGACAUCACCAUAAACGGACAGGAGCCCUGCCUGUGGCCACUGGGUGUCGAUGGUGUUCCAUUCAGAACCUUGGAGUUCAAGGCUAGCUGCCACUUCCAAAAAGCAAAAAGGAGCUUAGGAUGACAUUCUUCCAGACAAGAAAGAAGAAAUAUCCACAAUGAAUUGGAAAAUAAUACGGUGUGAAAUUCAGUGUGCAUCACUGAGUUAUCUGCUUUCCAGAAAGCUUAGCAACCAUCAGAUAAUCGCAGUUGGUUUAAACUCCCCACGUUGUUCUAACAUUUUUUUUUCCAACCAGUUAAAUUGGUCAGUCUGCACACGAGAGAACAUAGACUAAAUUGUUUAAUUUCUACAAGAUUUUGGAUGUAACAUUGAUGACUUGUUCUUAUUUAGUUAUCUCACCCACUUAAGAAAAUCCUGGCCAUCUUUCACAGAUAGAGAAACAUAAGACAUUUGAGCCGUAAGCAGUUUGCAACUUGUUUACUAUGAUGUAAUUAUCUGUGAAACUCAAGAUAUAAUUCAAUAUUUGUAUGACUUUCAAUUCCUAAUUUAUUAUUGUUAGAUCUCAGCACCAGAAAUAUACAUCUGUUAUUCUGAAUUGUUUAAAUUUGUUCUUCCCCAAAGAACAGUAAUAUAAUCAUGUUCUAGUUUAACAGCAUUUGCAUAUCAUUAAACAUGUAAUGGCCUAUAAUCUACUUUUCUUCUGCCGUAAUUUUCUUAAACUCUUUAUGAAACACCAGUAGAUUUUUACACAUUUAAGAAAUAGGUUAUGAUUCCUCAAAUGAUGUCAUAAUUAGAUGUUCAGAAAGCAAGCCAAUAAAGGAAUGAGCUGGGGAAUCUCCAUGUCUUGUUCAGUGCAAGCUUUAGAAUAAAAACAUAAAUUUCAUUAUCUGGGAAA
rnacentral:lncRNA from 9 species